AGUGAACGCUGGCGGUAGGCCUAACACAUGCAAGUCGAACGGCAGCACAGUAAGAGCUUGCUCUUACGGGUGGCGAGUGGCGGACGGGUGAGGAAUACAUCGGAAUCUACUUUUUCGUGGGGGAUAACGUAGGGAAACUUACGCUAAUACCGCAUACGACCUACGGGUGAAAGCAGGGGAUCUUCGGACCUUGCGCGAUUGAAUGAGCCGAUGUCGGAUUAGCUAGUUGGCGGGGUAAAGGCCCACCAAGGCGACGAUCCGUAGCUGGUCUGAGAGGAUGAUCAGCCACACUGGAACUGAGACACGGUCCAGACUCCUACGGGAGGCAGCAGUGGGGAAUAUUGGACAAUGGGUGCAAGCCUGAUCCAGCCAUACCGCGUGGGUGAAGAAGGCCUUCGGGUUGUAAAGCCCUUUUGUUGGGAAAGAAAAGCAGCAGGCUAAUACCCCGCUGUUCUGACGGUACCCAAAGAAUAAGCACCGGCUAACUUCGUG
rnacentral:rRNA from 1 species